rnacentral:rRNA from 1 species
AACGAACGCUGGCGGCAUGCCUAACACAUGCAAGUCGAACGAGAUCUUCGGGUCUAGUGGCGCACGGGUGCGUAACGCGUGGGAAUCUGCCCUUUGGUUCGGAAUAACAGUUGGAAACGACUGCUAAUACCGGAUGAUGACGAAAGUCCAAAGAUUUAUCGCCAGAGGAUGAGCCCGCGUAGGAUUAGCUAGUUGGUGUGGUAAAGGCGCACCAAGGAGAAGAUCCUGAGCUGGUCUGAGGGGAUGAUCAGCCACACUGGGACUGAGACACGGCCCAGACUCCUGCGGGAGGAAGCAGUGAGGAAGAUUGAACAAUGGGCGAAAGCCUGAUCCAGCAAUGCCGCGUGAGUGAUGAAGGCCUUAGGGUUGUAAAGCUCUUGUACCCGGGAUGAUAAUGACAGUACCGGGAGAAUAAGCUCCGGCUAACUCCGUGCCAGCCGCCGCCGUAA